AUUGAACGCUGGCGGCAGGCCUAACACAUGCAAGUCGAGCGAGCGGCGGACGGGUGAGUAAUGUAUGGGGACUGCCCGAUAGAGGGGGAUAACUACUGGAAACGGUAGCUAAUACCGCAUACUAUCGGAUAACCCAUAUGGGAUUAGCUAGUAGGUGAGGUAAUGGCUCACCUAGGCGACGAUCCCUAGCUGGUCUGAGAGGAUGAUCAGCCACACGGGGACUGAGACACGGCCCAGACUCCUACGGAGCAAGCGGGGGAGAAGAUUGCGCAAUGGGCGAAAGCCUGAUGCAGCCAUGCCGCGUGUAUGAAUGAGGCCCUAGGGCUUUAGAGUACUUUCAGUCGGGAGGCGUUACCGACAGAAGAAGCACCGGCUAACUCCGUGCCAGCAGCCGCGGUAAUUC
rnacentral:rRNA from 1 species